UAAUGCAAUGCUCUAUCCCCAGCACGACAGAGUUUAACAAGAUUACCCAGACCUUCCGGCCAAGGUGAAAAACUCGUUGGCUCUGUCAGUGUAGCGCGCGUGCGGCCCAGAACAUCUAAGGGCAUCACAGACCUGUUAUUGCCUCAAACUUCCAUCGGCUUGAGCCGAUAGUCCCUCUAAGAAGCCGGCGACCAGCCAAAGCUAGCCUGGCUAUUUAGCAGGUUAAGGUCUCGUUCGUUAUCGCAAUUAAGCAGACAAAUCACUCCACCAACUAAGAACGGCCAUGCACCACCACCUGAAAAAUCAAGAAAGAGCUCUCAAUCUGUCAAUCCUUAUUUCAUCUGGACCUGGUGAGUUUCCCCG
rnacentral:rRNA from 1 species